rnacentral:rRNA from 1 species
GUCUUUUUGAUUAAUAAUUUAAAGUUUAAUUUGCCCCCUGAUUAAUAAUUAAAGGGCUGCAGUAUAUUGACUGUACAAAGGUAGCAUAAUCAAUAGUCUUUUAAUUGAAGACUUGUAUGAAAGAUUUGAUGAAAUAUAAACUGUCUCUAAAUUAUUUAUAGAAAUUAAUUUUUUAAUUAAAAAGUUAAAAUAAAUUAAAAAGACGAGAAGACCCUAUAGAGUUUUAUAAUAAUUAAAUUUUUUUUUUAAAUAUAAAAAUAAUGAAUUUAAAGGUUUAUUAUUAUUUUAUUGGGGUGAUAGAAAAAUUAAAAUAACUUUUUUUAAUAAAAAUACAUAAAUAAGUGAAUAAAUGAUCCAUAAUUAAUGAUUAUAAGAAAAAAUUACCUUAGGGAUAACAGCGUAAUUUUUUUUUUUAGUACAAAUAAAAAAAAAAGGUUGCGACCUCGAUGUUGGAUUAAGAUAAAAUUUAAAUGCAAAAGUUUAAAAUUUUGAUCUGUUCGAUCAUUAAAAUCUUACAU